rnacentral:rRNA from 1 species
AUUGAACGCUGGCGGCAGGCCUAACACAUGCAAGUCGGGCGGAUGAAGGGAGCUUGCUCCUGGAUUCAGCGGCGGACGGGUGAGUAAUGCCUAGGAAUCUGCCUGGUAGUGGGGGAUAACGUCCGGAAACGGGCGCUAAUACCUCAUACGUCCUGAGGGAGAAAGUGGGGGAUCUUCGGACCUCACGCUAUCAGAUGAGCCUAGGUCGGAUUAGCUAGUUGGUGGGGUAAAGGCCUACCAAGGCGACGAUCCGUAACUGGUCUGAGAGGAUGAUCAGUCACACUGGAACUGAGACACGGUCCAGACUCCUACGGGAGGCAGCAGUGGGGAAUAUUAGACAAUGGGCGAAAGCCUGAUCCAGCCAUGCCGCGUGUGUGAAGAAGGUCUUCGGAUUGUAAAGCACUUUAAGUUGGGAGGAAGGGCAGUAAGUUAAUACCUUGCUGUUUUGACGUUACCAACAGAAUAAGCACCGGCUAACUUCGUG